AGAGUUUGAUCAUGGCUCAGGAUGAACGCUGGCGGCGUGCCUAAUACAUGCAAGUCGAGCGAACCGAUUAGAAGCUUGCUUCUAUGACGUUAGCGGCGGACGGGUGAGUAACACGUGGGCAACCUGCCUGUAAGACUGGGAUAACUUCGGGAAACCGAAGCUAAUACCGGAUAGGAUCUUCUCCUUCAUGGGAGAUGAUUGAAAGAUGGUUUCGGCUAUCACUUACAGAUGGGCCCGCGGUGCAUUAGCUAGUUGGUGAGGUAACGGCUCACCAAGGCAACGAUGCAUAGCCGACCUGAGAGGGUGAUCGGCCACACUGGGACUGAGACACGGCCCAGACUCCUACGGGAGGCAGCAGUAGGGAAUCUUCCGCAAUGGACGAAAGUCUGACGGAGCAACGCCGCGUGAGUGAUGAAGGCUUUCGGGUCGUAAAACUCUGUUGUUAGGGAAGAACAAGUACGAGAGUAACUGCUCGUACCUUGACGGUACCUAACCAGAAAGCCACGGCUAACUACGUGCCAGCAGCCGCGGUAAUACGUAGGUGGCAAGCGUUAUCCGGAAUUAUUGGGCGUAAAGCGCGCGCAGGCGGUUUCUUAAGUCUGAUGUGAAAGCCCACGGCUCAACCGUGGAGGGUCAUUGGAACUGGGA
rnacentral:rRNA from 1 species